rnacentral:rRNA from 1 species
UACGGGGGGGCCAGCGUUGUUCGGAAUUACUGGGCGUAAAGGGCUCGUAGGCGGCCAACUAAGUCAGACGUGAAAUCCCCAGGCUUAACCUGGGAACUGCGUCUGAUACUGGAUGGCUUGAAUUCGGGAGAGGGAUGCAGAAUUCCAGGUGUAGCGGUGAAAUGCGUAGAUAUCUGGAGGAAUACCGGUGGCGAAGGCGGCAUCCUGGACCGAGAUUGACGCUGAUGAGCGAAAGCUAGGGGAGCAAACGGG